UACGGAGGAUACGAGCGUUAUCCGGAUUCAUUGGGUUUAAAGGGUGCGCAGGCGGACCGGUAAGUCAGGGGUGAAAUACUGCAGCUCAACUGCAGCCGUGCCUUUGAUACUGCCGGACUGGAGUCCAAGGGGCGUGGCUGGAAUGUGGCGUGUAGCGGUGAAAUGCUUAGAUAUGCCACAGAACGCCGAUCGUGAAGACAGGCCACGAACUUGGCACUGACGCUCAUGCACGAAAGCGUGGGUAUCAAAC
rnacentral:rRNA from 1 species